rnacentral:rRNA from 1 species
CAGCAGCCGCGGGAAUACGAGGGGGGCAAGCGUUGUUCGGAAUUAUUGGGCGUAAAGGGUGCGUAGGCGGCUUGACAAGUCUUGUGUGAAAUCUAUGGGCUCAACCCAUAGUCUGCACGGGAAACUGUCGGGCUUGAGAAUGGGAGAGGUGAGUGGAGUUUCCGGUGUAGCGGUGAAAUGCGUAGAUAUCGGAAGGAACACCUGUGGCGAAAGCGGCUCACUGGACCAUUUCUGACGCUGAUGCACGAAAGCUAGGGGAGCAAACAGGAUUAGAUACCACUGUAGUCCCUGUCUCUUAUAA